rnacentral:rRNA from 1 species
GAAAGCUAUUUAGGUAGCGCCUCGGACGAAUACCAUUGGGGGUAGAGCACUGUUUCGGCUAGGGGGUCAUCCCGACUUACCAAACCGAUGCAAACUCCGAAUACCAAUGAGUACUAUCCGGGAGACAGACUGCGGGUGCUAACGUCCGUAGUCAAGAGGAAAACAAUCCAGACCGCCAGCUAAGGCCCCUAAAUUAUAGUUAAGUGGGAAACGAUGUGGGAAGGCAUAGACAGCUAGGAGGUUGGCUUAGAAGCAGCC